UACGUAGGGUGCAAGCGUUAAUCGGAAUUACUGGGCGUAAAGUGUGCGCAGGCGGCAGAGCAAGUCGAGUGUGAAAGCCCCGAGCUUAACUUGGGAAUUGCGCUCGAAACUACUUUGCUGGAGUGUGGCAGAGGAAGGUGGAAUUCCACGUGUAGCGGUGAAAUGCGUAGAGAUGUGGAGGAACACCAAUGGCGAAGGCAGCCUUCUGGGCCAACACUGACGCUCAUGCACGAAAGCGUGGGGAGCAAACAGG
rnacentral:rRNA from 1 species